UACAGAGGUCUCAAGCGUUGUUCGGAUUCAUUGGGCGUAAAGGGUGCGUAGGUGGCGCCGUAAGUCGGGUGUGAAAUUUCGGAGCUCAACUCCGAAACUGCAUUCGAUACUGCGGUGCUUGAGGACUGGAGAGGAGACUGGAAUUCAUGGUGUAGCAGUGAAAUGCGUAGAGAUCAUGAGGAAGACCAGUGGCGAAGGCGGGUCUCUGGGCCGAUACUGACGUGAGGAGCGAAAAGCGUGGGGGAGCGAACAGG
rnacentral:rRNA from 1 species